AGAUGUACUUCAACUAUGUUGAAAUUCAGUCAUUGCUGAAAGGAGAAAAAAGAGGAAAGCCUUGCAGGAUGAAGUGAACAAGAACUCUUUUAGCAGAAGCUAACAUGUUAACUUCAAAUGCAAUGAUACAAUUAUCCAAGUGGAUUUAGACAGUAAUUUUACCAAAAGUGAUCAAGGAUGGCCCCUGUGAAAACAAGCUGUUCAAAAAGGAUGUUGUCAUUAAACUUGGCAGUGCAUAAGUAACCUAAGAAAGAGUAGAACUAUCCAGCCUUUAAUAUUGCUGACUCUCUUAUAUCCAGUUUGAGAGUUCAAGCUUUGUGGUGAUUUUGAAAAUGUACAUAGUAAAACAAAAUUGGAGUAACACACUUGGAAACCAUAUGAAAGUGCUCACUGGCUUCAAUAGAAUGUGAAGCUCCUAUCCUAAGGAUCAGAUCUUCAACUUUUCGUGUUUUGAAGAUGACCACUUUAUUAUAAGUAAUAGAAGUGCUGAAAGUCUUACCUAUGAAGUCCUGGGAGUAGGAACAUUUCCAUUGCUUACAAUUAGGUACUGUCUAAGAAUUCUAGGGAUAAGGAUUGAAAAAUCUAAAAGCUAUAUUACACACAAAACAUGCUAACCUCUAAAUAGCACAGAGAAAAAUUGAUCUGAAUUUUUAUGUCUUUUCCCAAAAACAAAGUUAGUGCUGACGUUAAGUAACUGUAUAGUGAAUUGAAUAGAUAUGAUGUUCUGAAGCUCUAAUCAUGUUUGUCAAAACAUUUAUUUGGAAGACGAUAAUUCUACUUGCUAACAGAAUUUUGAGAUUUAAAAAAUUCAAUAUAUUGAAUUGUUGGAAGGGACCAAAGGUACAAGUGAACACAUCAUUGUGCAGAUACAAUUUAAAUAUUGUAUUAUGAUAUGACUGCUGGAUUGAAAACUAAAAAGCUGUGAUAUGGAAUGAAAAUUCCUAUGUAUGCAGAACAUUUUAGAGCUAUAGGCAAUACUUUCUGAGUAUUUGCUAAUAAUGAAAUACUAGCUGAAUGGUACUUGAUAUGAAGGCAGCUUAUGGCUUUAGAUAAUGUCUCUGAUUUUGGCACUGAAUGACAAAUAAAGUCACCAAUUUAAGGCAUUGUGCAUUGAUGCAUCCUGCAUCCUUUGUGAACGUGCCUUACAGGCACAACUGAGAUCAGUCCCAUGAGUUUCUUUUUUAGCAUCAAAUUUCAUGAAAAUUUCUCCAAAUGCCAUGAAAGUUAGCUCUACCAUGCAUCACCAAGAUGAGUGAUGGCUCUAGGGCCAAGCCAGGAAUCUCGAAGUUCAAAAUUUGACAAUUCUGAUAGUUGACACAUUGCUCUGGAAGCUACUCAUUCCAGAGUGGAUGUGUCUUGUCCAGAGAGUCCUUAAAGAGCAAGUGCUGUGAUGUGUGAGGGACUUACAGGAAGAGCUUGCUGUAGUUGGUGAACAGUUCCUCUCUGAAGUGGCAUAAAUGUACUGUUUUGUGUUAAGGUAUCUUGGCUAUUAACUUAAAUUAUAAAAAUGUGUAACUGGCAAGGAGUCAGUUGCUGGAGACUGAAGGGUUAAAAAGUGAGAGCUGAAGGUUUGCCCCAAAGUCACAAUUUUGUAGUGACUGAUAGUAGAUUGAUGGUGACCCAGCUCUGCUGACUCAGUGGAUGACGUGAAAUUCAGUGCUGGUCAAGUAUCAAUUCUAUGUGCCACCUAUUUUUAUCACAGUUAGCUCCUGCAGUUUUCCAGUCUUAGAAGGAAAGCCAAUAAAAAUUCAGCAGUAUAAAUACUACUUUCCAUAUUCACAUGGAGAAAGCCAACCCAAAUUUGGC
ensembl:lncRNA